rnacentral:rRNA from 1 species
GAUGAACGCUGGCGGCGUGCUUAACACAUGCAAGUCGAACGGAAAGGCUCCUGCUUGCAGGGGUACUCGAGUGGCGAACGGGUGAGUAACACGUGGGUGAUCUGCCCUGCACUUCGGGAUAAGCCUGGGAAACUGGGUCUAAUACCGGAUAGGACGAUGGUUUGGAUGCCAUUGUGGAAAGUUUUUCGGUGUGGGAUGAGCUCGCGGCCUAUCAGCUUGUUGGUGGGGUAAUGGCCUACCAAGGCGUCGACGGGUAGCCGGCCUGAGAGGGUGUACGGCCACAUUGGGACUGAGAUACGGCCCAGACUCCUACGGGAGGCAGCAGUGGGGAAUAUUGCACAAUGGGUGCAAGCCUGAUGCAGCGACGCCGCGUGGGGGAUGACGGCCUUCGGGUUGUAAACUCCUUUCGCUAGGGACGAAGCGCAAGUGACGGUACCUGGAGAAGAAGCACCGGCUAACUACGUG